rnacentral:lncRNA from 1 species
GAUUCUUUGAGCGGUGAAUAAGCCUGAGAAAUGAAAAGUAGGGGGAAAGAAGGGGGAAAGAGCGUUCCCAGUACAGGCAGGUGCUCCGUGGUGCGUGUCGCGAGUGUGCACCUGACACCUGAGAGGAGCUGGCAGUUGAUAAGGCGGACUUGAGAUAUGCACAGGAGAGGUGACCUUUUGGAUAACAAGAGAUUCAUGGUCCCCAGAGGCCCAGCCCAGUAUGGCAACUAGAAAAGUCCCACCUAAGUAACUGAAGGACUCAUCCCAAGAGGGAGCCCGCCCUUCCCCCUGUGCACCCUGUCAUUUCCUCAGCCCGUGCAUUAGACAGAGGCCGGAAACAAAUUGACAGGCAUCUGGAGGAAAGUACCUCAAGUGAUUUAGGAGAAUGGAAGGGCUGGCUUAUGGGGCCAGAUUAAAGAAGCUAAAUAUGUAUAGCUUGCCUAAGUGACAACUAAAUGGGGCACUGGAUAAGUCUAUAAAUACUUGGAAGAUGUACAUGCCAAGGAGGAAAGGGAAUUACUUAGCAGGGCACGGUGGCAUAUUGGCAUAAUGGGAGAAUAUUAAGAAAGGGAAAGCAGAGGCUGAACAUCAAUAAAAAGCUUCCUGACAAGGAGAACCAUUUCUGACGGGGGACACUGAAGCUGUGCUGUAGGCCAUGGGGAACAGUGGCAUUGCAAUUCCUCAAGGUAUGGGCCACAGGGCCAGCACGGCAGGAGCAGGAGCCAGGCACAUGGUGUGCUGCUUCUGGGGAGAACUCAGAUGGCCUAGACCUCAGGGACAGACCGCAGCCCAGCACUGCCUCACUGCCAGAAAAACUGGCACAUUUCCGUGACCUCACUUCCUGCAGGAUAAAACCUGGUUCUCUAGCUCAGGGGCCAGCCGCCCAGCUCAGUGGCCUUGGCUCCCAGCAGCACUCCCACACCCUCUCCAGGGCACAGGGCUGCUCAGCCUUCCCCGUCCAUUGCCAGACCUUUCACUCACCUGCCCUGCUUCCACCUGACCCCAUGUCAGACUUCGCCUGUUCUCCACAGCAGAUCGCGUCUCCCUCUCUGCAAAGCCCCUGCCCCUGCCCCACUGGCCUCUGUUUAUGGAACUUAUGACACUGUCCUGUCAUUGUUUCUGUACUUUGGCUCCCAGGGAUGGCACUGAGGCCCCAUCACCUGUAUGUCACCAGGGUCUGACACGGAGCCUGGCUAAAGCACACAGUGUGUGUCUGAAUACCUGCAGGAGCAAGGAUCUACUCCUGCACUCUCGGUCUGCUUCGUUCCUUGGGCCCCAAACAUAUUUAUUAAGGGAAAAGAACUUCCACAUCUAAGUAGCUUCUUUGAAUCAUCUUCCCAGCCUCUUGGCCAGCACUUUUGUGGCCAUUUAGACAACUCUAAAU